rnacentral:rRNA from 1 species
UACGUAGGGGGCUAGCGUUGUCCGGAAUCAUUGGGCGUAAAGCGCGUGUAGGCGGUCCGGUAAGUCCGCUGUGAAAGUCGGGGGCUCAACCCUCGGAUGCCGGUGGAUACUGUCGGGCUUGAGUACGGAAGAGGCGAGUGGAAUUCCUGGUGUAGCGGUGAAAUGCGCAGAUAUCAGGAGGAACACCGAUGGCGAAGGCAGCUCGCUGGGACGGUACUGACGCUGAGGCGCGAAAGCGUGGGGAGCAAACAGG